rnacentral:rRNA from 1 species
UACGUAGGGGGCAAGCGUUAAUCGGAAUUACUGGGCGUAAAGCGUGCGCAGGCGGUUCUUUAAGACAGAUGUGAAAUCCCCGGGCUCAACCUGGGAACUGCAUUUGUGACUGUAGAGCUGGAGUACGGCAGAGGGGGAUGGAAUUCCGCGUGUAGCAGUGAAAUGCGUAGAUAUGCGGAGGAACACCGAUGGCGAAGGCAAUCCCCUGGGCCUGUACUGACGCUCAUGCACGAAAGCGUGGGGAGCAAACAGG